rnacentral:rRNA from 1 species
GACGAACGCUGGCGGCGUGCUUAACACAUGCAAGUCGAACGCAGUGGCGAACGGGUGAGUAACGCGUAAUCAACCUGCCCUUCAAAGGGGGACAACAGGUGGAAACUACUGCUAAUACCCCAUACUGAAGGAGGGGAUUGCGUCUGAUUAGGUAGUUGGGGGGGUAACGGCCCACCAAGGCGAUGAUAAGUAGCCGGGCUGAGAGGAUGAACGGCCACAUUUGGACUGGGACACGGCCCAGACUCCUACGGGAGGGAGCAGUGGGGAAUCUUCCGCAAUGGAAGAAAGUCUGACGGGGCAACGCCGCGUGAGUGAUGACGGCUUUCGGGUUGUAAAGCUCUGUUAAUCGGGACGCGGUACCGGAAUAGAAAGCCACGGCUAACUACGUGCCAGCCGCCGCGGUAAUAC